rnacentral:lncRNA from 1 species
UUCAGCUUGGUGACCCAAUGAGCUUUAUUGGGGUUACUUACAGGAAUAUGGGCGAAGGGUUACUUACAGGAGCAGAAAUGAUUCACAGACAGCCGUGUCCUCAAACCCCACCCCCAGCAUGGGUGAAAGCUCACAAAAUUGGGAUCCUGGAGCUUGCAUGGCCUACAGUGCGACAGGUUAGAGAGUCUCCUUUCCCGGGGCCUCAGCUCUUCUUCUCUAAGAGUUUUCUUUGCAGCUCGGCUCUGCUGAGGCCUGAGACUUGAUUCCUAGGAAGCCAGGUCUCCACCCACUGGGGAUGCUGGGACCGUGCUUUGCUGUACAUCAUGGCUCACGUGAGUAAAGGCUGACCACCUAUCAGUGGACACGCCGGGUUAAGGCCAAAGCAAUGCUAGAUCCUGCCCACGACUUUGUUUUUAGAACUCCCGUUUCUUUUACAUCUCACACAGCAGAUCCUAAUUACCCAAUCCCCUGUCUUCACUCUUUCUACCCCAAUCUUGGCCUGUUAAUUCUACCCCAACUCUGUCAAUUCCGCUCAACGUAAAACACCAGCCACAUCAACCUCAGCUCCGGUUCCAGAGGACCUGAAGCACGUGGCGCGUGGCUCCCAGAUAAUGCAUGCAGGCAAAGCGCACAGACAUAGAAGACAAAAAUGAAUAAAAAUCUCAAAAUAAAAGUGAUGGCUGAGGAGUGGAAGCUCACACCUUUAAUCCUAGCACUUGGGAGGCAGAGGCGGCCAGAUCUCUGAGCCUGGUCUACAGAGUGAGUUCCAGGACAUCCAGGGCUACACAGAGGGACCCUGUCUUGAAAAAAAGAAGGAAUAAAAAUAAA